GCUUUUUGGUGACAGUAAUGGGUUUGCUUAUGGCGUGGAGCGUGACACUAGCAAUGGUGGAUGCAUUCUCAGUUCUUAUUAAACUCCCAACUCGCUUGCCUGGAAUUCUCUCACUUGUCGUAUUAGGAGAUUGGGUCCUGUCAUUUCUAGCACUAGCAGCAUCAUGUUCAACAGCUAGUGCGGCUGACUUUCUUAUUCAUUCUAGAAGCUCAUUCUGCGAGGGAACUUUAUGCACGCGUUACCAACUCUCGGCUACCAUGGCUUUCUUGGC
rnacentral:misc_RNA from 1 species